GUCAGAGGAGGGACUCAUUUUCCCAGCGUGAAAAUCCAUCAGGAAGUGGCAGAGGGAGAGAGAGAGAGAGAGAGAGAGAACAGAAGAAAAUGUGGGAAUUUCUACUGAGAAAAUCUGCCUAAUUCUCUGGGUGAGGGUAAUGUGAUCAGGAGCCACACCCUGCUCAGACGCAGCAGA